CCUCUUUGCCCGAUCGGUGAAAACCCCUUCACCCGAUUCAGAACUCCUAAUUCCAGCAGCGGGCCACAGUGACGAACCGACAAAAUCAAUCCUUUAUCAGAUCAAACUUUACAUCUGGUUGUCCCCGGUUUCCUGUCGGAUGUCAGGCACACAGUUUGCAGUUCUCCGUGUCUACCUUGAGCCUAUCUAAUAUCGAUAUCGUUCUCCAUCUUAUGCAGCGAGUGAAUAAGAAAAAGGGGCAUGGAGCGAGGAGCAAAUAGGACGUUUAUCGAUCAGAUAGAUGCUUCGUACUAGUUCAAUAUUCGAAUUAAUUGAUGAUGGCACAGAUGGCAGGUACAGGUGCUUUGCUCGCACAUUCCAGACCCAGAAAAGCCCAGACGCCAAACAGAAAGAAAAAAACGAGAUGCACCCACCAAGGCGCGUCUUACCUCAUGUUUAUGUAUGAGUGCAGUAGAAACAAGUAAUAAUAACACAAAUAACGGACAACGCAUGCAGAGAGCAAAAAGGAUAGUCUAUAGUAAUUGAUACUUAACAGG
rnacentral:sRNA from 1 species